rnacentral:rRNA from 1 species
UACGUAGGGUGCGAGCGUUAAUCGGAAUUACUGGGCGUAAAGCGUGCGUAGGCGGUCCGCAAAGUCUGAUGUGAAAGCCCCGGGCUCAACCUGGGAACUGCAUUGGAAACUAACGGGCUCGAGUGUGGCAGAGGGGGGUGGAAGUUCCACGUGUAGCAGUGAAAUGCGUAGAGAUGUGGAGGAACACCGAUGGCGAAGGCAGCCCCCUGGGCUAACACUGACGCUCAGGCACGAAAGCGUGGGGAGCAAACAGG